AACGAACGCUGGCGGCGCGUUUUAAGCAUGCAAGUCGAACGGCAGUCCGGGUAGCAAUACCUGGGCGAGAGUGGCGAACGGGUGAGUAAUGCAUCGGAACGUACCGUGUAAUGGGGGAUAACGCUUCGAAAGAGGUGCUAAUACCGCAUACGCCCUGAGGGGGAAAGCGGGGGAUCGUAAGACCUCGCGUUAUACGAGCGGCCGAUGCCGGAUUAGCUAGUUGGUGGGGUAAAGGCCCACCAAGGCGACGAUCCGUAGCUGGUCUGAGAGGACGACCAGCCACACUGGGACUGAGACACGGCCCAGACUCCUACGGGAGGCAG
rnacentral:rRNA from 1 species